rnacentral:rRNA from 1 species
AGAAUAGACUACCCGGGUAGUCCACGCCCUAAACGAUGCGAACUGGAUGUUGGGUACAUUACGGUACUCAGUGUCGAAGCUAACGCGUUAAGUUCGCCGCCUGGGGAGUACGGUCGCAAGACUGAAACUCAAAGGAAUUGACGGGGGCCCGCACAAGCGGUGGAGUAUGUGGUUUAAUUCGAUGCAACGCGAAGAACCUUACCUGGCCUUGACAUCUGUCGAAUCCUGCAGAGAUGCGGGAGUGCCGCAAGGAACGACAAGACAGGUGCUGCAUGGCUGUCGUCAGCUCGUGUCGUGAGAUGUUGGGUUAAGUCCCGCAACGAGCGCAACCCUUGUCCCUAGUUGCCAGCACGUAAUGGUGGGAACUCUAGGGAGACUGCCGGUGACAAACCGGAGGAAGGUGGGGAUGACGUCAAGUCCUCAUGGCCCUUACGGCCAGGGCUACACACGUACUACAAUGGUCGGUACAGAGGGUUGCGAAGCCGCGAGGUGAAGCCAAUCCCAGAAAACCGAUCCCAGUCCGGAUUGGAGUCUGC